rnacentral:misc_RNA from 1 species
GAUGAAGAACGCAGCGAAAUGCGAUAAGUAGUGUGAAUUGCAGAAUUCAGUGAAUCAUCGAAUCUUUGAACGCACAUUGCGCCCCUUGGUAUUCCAUGGGGCAUGCCUGUUUGAGCGUCAUUUGUACCUUCAAGCUCUGCUUGGUGUUGGGUGUUUGUCCUUGCUCUAGUGGCGGGACUCGCCUUAAAGUAAUUGGCAGCCAGUGUUUUGGUUUUGAAGCGCAGCACAAGUCGCGAUUCAAGUCUAUACGCUAGUUUCCACAAGUCUUUUAUCACUUUUGACCUCGGAUCAGGUAGGGAUACCCGCUGAACUUAAGCAUAUCAAUAAGCGGAGGA